CGCCGCCGGAAAGCGUGGCUGCUACCGGCUCGGCCGCCGCCGCCGCCGGAAAGCGCGGCAGUGCUGUACGGAUCCAUCCUGGGGCCAAAUCCGGCAGCCCCCCUUGCCGGAUCUGGUCGGGGCGCUCCUCUCUCGGCCCGGCGUCACCGGGGAGCCGGCCUUCCUCACCGGUGUGCGGUCGCCGGCAGCCAGUCACGUUCAGGUGCUCCGUCGGCUUUCCGGUCCGAUAGUGCUCCGUCGGCUUCCUGGCUGCUCCCCUCCCCCUCUGGUGCACGGCUGGCUCCGCCCCAUUGUAGUGGCGGCCUUGCUGGCCUCUUGGCCGGCCUUGCUACCACCGCCGGAGGGGGAAGCCGUCGGCCCCCGGUGGCGUGCUGGUGCGGCGUCGGCCCCAGGCUCCCUCUGGUGCCGAGAUGACGGGCUAGCGCAUGCGCUCGCCUAGCGGCCUGCGCUCGCGGCGCUCGAGCGCUGCCAGGCGAGCGGGCGACCAGCCGCACGGCCUUCGGCACGCGUGUCAGGCAGCCAGUCACAGCGGCCAGCGCGGGGAACAGGCGCACACGCAGCGUGCUCGCGGCUGAGCAAGCAGUGGCGCAGGAGGCCUGGGCCAGCAUGGGCACUCAGCCCAAGGUGGCCAGCAGCUUGGGGGUGCUGUGGCCAGGCCGGCGGUGCAAGCAAGAGCAGGUCGACAGCAUUAGCUGGGCCAAUUCGGUUUGAAUCCUCUCUUUGCACUUGCCAUUUAAUUCCUGCUCAUUUAUUUUUUUAAAAGUUAAUUGACGGCCACAAGCUGCAAGGUCUGAGGAUCGACGACUGCGCAAUUUGUGGUUUGGAAAGUAGGCAUGCAUACAUGUCUUUCUCACCUGCAGGUCUCCUAUGAAUCUCUAAUCUUGUCGUUCUUUAUGCUUAAUGCUCACUUUUUUAACAGGACAUGAUGCAAGAGUAUAGAAAUAGAUCAUGGGAUGAAACCUGCAAAUUAACGGCAUAUAACACAUACUAUCUGACAUUGAUGACAUCUUAUCAUAUUGUAUGAUUUAUGAUUUUUAUAUCUUUUUUUUUGCAUGGACAUAUGUAUCAGUUACAGGAGAUUGGUGUGUGUUGGAGUAACUGGCUUGAAAGAUGGCAGUUUGUAUGACACUAAGGAUGUAGGAUAAAGGAGUUGCAGGUGCAUGGUGCUUAUAAACAUGGGUAUGAUAGGAUCUCCAGGAGAAGUUAUUCAGCUCCUACUCAGGAACCUGUACCAGGGUAGUAUUAUGGUUGGGGAAGUGCAAAUGUGUGGUGUUAUAUAUUUCACACUUAAUCAGCUCUAGAGUGUCAAGGCCUUUUGACCUUACUCCAUGGUGAACCUGCUGGGCAUGAGUACUCCUCUGUGAAGCAGCAAAAAGAACUGUUAUCGAUAUCUUCAAAUGUUUUUGCUAGCUAAGUUUUGCCAUGGAACCUGAUUCGCUUAUUACUUUGUGGUUAUUCUGAGUGAAUCUUUAUCGCUUGUGUUCUUUUUAUUUUUUUUUGUUUUGGGUGUCAAACAGCAACUAUAUAAGAAAAUAGUUGCAGUAGUCAAAUAUGAUGUGGCCAUGAAAGGAGGUGAUAAGUGCUUGGAAUAUCCAACAGCCAUCCACUCACUUACAGGAUCAUAAAAGGCCUUCAUCUAUGUAGCUGCUCAGAUCAAUGGCCUGCUGAAACUUCUUCCUGUAUCAUCUUUCUAUGAUGGGAUUUGCUGAAGCAUACUUGGAAGGGGUUAGGGAGUUCACUGCCUUGCUACAAUCUAAACUUCUUCUGUGUAUAUACUGCAAGUGGCUCAGUACCCUUACUGUAUUGGUGGGUGAGUACAUAUGGGAAAAGGGAAAGUCAGGGUUUGCGGGAGCACCGCUAUGUCAUUUAAGAAGGAGAAGGAUGCAGCUUAGAGGUUGAAGUAAUCUUCAGAACUAACAUGAUGGUAUUUUCUUGUAUAUGGUUUGCUAUGGCUGCCAGUGAAGCAGGUACUAAUGGAUUUUAUUCUCUAUAAUGGAGUUGGAAAAAUAAUUAAGUUAAUCUAUAUUUAGUUUACAAGAAACAAUGUGGUAGCUAAUUAGACCUGAGGCUUAUGCAUACAUGAGUUGAAGACAAACAAAUACUACUGAAAUUGUGCCCUACAAUUUGAAGGGCAAUUUGUUACACAUGGGCUUUAUUUAUAUAUUGGUAUUGCCAUGAACAUGAUGCUUGAAUGCUUAAAUGGAAAAAAAUAUAGAUAUAUCUAUAUGAACAAAUUUUCUUUCAAUUUACAGUCUGCAUUUCUUUUUGUUGGAGGAGCAAGAGAUGUAAUAUUUAAGAUGAAAAGUAGAUGGUAUUAGCCUUUCAUGUCCUAAACUCCUGUGUAUGGCUUGGUUUGAUGAUUCUUGUAAAAACUCCAGUUAUGGAUAAUCGUGGGUGAUGUCGGUCA